CACACCCUAAAAAAAAAGCAAGAAAGGGAGGGUGAAAAACAGAGAGCCGUCCUGUGUCUUGACAAGAGCAGAUCAUGUUCAAGUGAGACCAACGUGAAUAGUAGUCUUCUUGAGGAUGUCUGAGCAUUCUAACACAUUUCU